rnacentral:rRNA from 1 species
UACGAAGGGGGCUAGCGUUGCUCGGAAUUACUGGGCGUAAAGCGCACGUAGGCGGCUUCUUAAGUCGGUGGUGAAAUCCUGGAGCUCAACUCCAGAACUGCCUUCGAUACUGAGAAGCUCGAGUCCGGGAGAGGUGAGUGGAACUGCGAGUGUAGAGGUGAAAUUCGUAGAUAUUUCGCAAGAACACCAGUGGCGAAGGCGGACUCACUGGCCCGGUACUGACGCUGAGGUGCGAAAGCGAGGGGA